GGGAUUGGCCCCAGUAACGGCGAGUGAGCGGCAACAGCUCAAAUUUGAAAUCUGGCUCUCGGGCCCGAGUUGUAAUUUGUAGAGGAUGCUUUUGGUGAGGUGCCUUCCGAGUUCCCUGGAACGGGACGCCAUAGAGGGUGAGAGCCCCGUCUGGUUGGACGCCGAACCUCUGUAAAGCUCCUUCGACGAGUCGAGUAGUUUGGGAAUGCUGCUCUAAAUGGGAGGUAUAUGUCUUCUAAAGCUAAAUACCGGCCAGAGACCGAUAGCGCACAAGUAGAGUGAUCGAAAGAUGAAAAGAACUUUGAAAAGAGAGUUAAACAGUACGUGAAAUUGUUGAAAGGGAAGCGCUUGUGACCAGACUUGGGCUUGGUUGAUCAUCCGGGUUCCCCCCGGUGCACUCUUCCGGCCCAGGCCAGCAUCAGUUCGCCCUGGGGGAACAAAAGCAUCGGAACUUGCCUUUUUCCGGAGAGGUAAAGCCCUGUGGCGAAACCCUGCGGGGAUGUAGGUUUCCAUUCCCGGGGGGGGCCGUAGGGUAUCUUGACCCCCUAAAACCGAAAACAAAA
rnacentral:rRNA from 1 species